rnacentral:rRNA from 1 species
CCUACGGGGGGCAGCAGUAGGGAAUAUUGCUCAAUGGGGGAAACCCUGAAGCAGCAACGCCGCGUGGAGGAUGAAGGUUUUCGGAUUGUAAACUCCUUUUGUUAGAGAAGAUAAUGACGGUAUCUAACGAAUAAGCACCGGCUAACUCCGUGCCAGCAGCCGCGGUAAUACGGAGGGUGCAAGCGUUACUCGGAAUCACUGGGCGUAAAGGGCGCGUAGGCGGGAUAGCAAGUCAGAUGGGAAAUCCUAUGGCUUAACCAUAGAACUGCAUUUGAAACUGUUAUUCUAGAGUAUGGGAGAGGUAGGUGGAAUGCUUGGUGUAGGGGUAAAAUCCGUAGAGAGCAAGAGGAAUACUCAUUGCGAAGGCGACCUGCUAGAACAUAACUGACGCUGAUGCGCGAAAGCGUGGGGAGCAAACAGGAUUAGAUACCCGAGUAGUC